rnacentral:rRNA from 1 species
GACGAACGCUGGCGGCGUGCUUAACACAUGCAAGUCGAACGAUGAACCCGGAGCUUGCUCUGGGGGAUUAGUGGCGAACGGGUGAGUAACACGUGAGUAACCUGCCCUGGACUCUGGGAUAAGCGUUGGAAACGACGUCUAAUACCGGAUAGGACCUUGGAUCGCAUGAUCUGGGGUGGAAAGUUUUUUCGGUCUGGGAUGGACUCGCGGCCUAUCAGCUUGUUGGUGAGGUAAUGGCUCACCAAGGCGUCGACGGGUAGCCGGCCUGAGAGGGUGACCGGCCACACUGGGACGGAGACACGGCCCAGACUCCUACGGGAGGCAGCAGUGGGGAAUAUUGCACAAUGGGCGAAAGCCUGAUGCAGCAACGCCGCGUGCGGGAUGACGGCCUUCGGGUUGUAAACCGCUUUUAGUAGGGAAGAAGGGCUUCGGCUUGACGGUACCUGCAGAAAAAGGACCGGCUAACUACGUG